UUCGCAAUGCCCGAAAGGGUGACGAAGCGACGCCGCGUGGGUGAGGAAGGCCCUCGGGUUGUAAAGCCCUGUCAGGAGUUAAGAAAUGUAGAUACGCUAAUAUCGUAUCUAUUUGACAAAGGCUCCAAAGGAAGCCACGGCUAACUCUGUGCCAGCAGCCGCGGUAAUACAGAGGUGGCAAGCGUUGUUCGGAAUUAUUGGGCGUAAAGAGCACGUAGGUGGAUUUGUAAGUCAGAUGUGAAAGCCUUCUGUUCAACGGAAGAAUUGCAUCUGAAACUACAAACCUUGAGUAUAGGAGGGGAGAAUGGAACUUCUGGUGGAGCGGUGAAAUGCGUAGAUAUCAGAAGGAACGCCGGCGGCGAAAGCGAUUCUCUGGCCUAUUACUGACACUCAAUGUGCGAAAGCUAGGGGAGCAAACGGGAUUAGAUACCCCGGUAGUCCUAGCCGUAAACGAUGGGCACUAAGUAGA
rnacentral:rRNA from 1 species